UGGAGAUGCCGGUACCAUGAGAUGAC
rnacentral:misc_RNA from 1 species